AAAGUAGUAACUUCGUCUUCACUACUGGAUUGAUUAUUGUUCCACUUUUUAUCACUAAUCCUAAACCAAACAUAGGAAUUUCUAGGAUAUGCAGUUCUGUUUUUUAUAAUCCCUAUCUUAUGAGUCCAGAUUGUACAUGUUCUGCAAUAUUCAAUCCAGCUAAUUCUUGAUGUUA